rnacentral:rRNA from 1 species
UACGUAGGGAGCAAGCGUUAUCCGGAUUUACUGGGUGUAAAGGGCGUGUAGGCGGGCCUGCAAGUCAGAAGUGAAAUCUGGGGGCUUAACCCCCAAACUGCUUUUGAAACUGUGGGUCUUGAGUGAUGGAGAGGCAGGCGGAAUUCCCAGUGUAGCGGUGAAAUGCGUAGAUAUUGGGAGGAACACCAGUGGCGAAGGCGGCCUGCUGGACAUUAACUGACGCUGAGGCGCGAAAGCGUGGGGAGCAAACAGG